AGAGUUUGAUCCUGGCUCAGGACGAACGCUGGCGGCGUGCCUAACACAUGCAAGUCGAACGGAGAAUUUUAUUUCGGUAGAAUUCUUAGUGGCGAACGGGUGAGUAACGCGUAGGCAACCUGCCCUUUAGACGGGGACAACAUUCCGAAAGGAGUGCUAAUACCGGAUGUGAUCAUCGUGCCGCAUGGCAGGAUGAAGAAAGAUGGCCUCUACAAGUAAGCUAUCGCUAAAGGAUGGGCCUGCGUCUGAUUAGCUAGUUGGUAGUGUAACGGACUACCAAGGCGAUGAUCAGUAGCCGGUCUGAGAGGAUGAACGGCCACAUUGGGACUGAGACACGGCCCAAACUCCUACGGGAGGCAGCAGUGGGGAAUCUUCCGCAAUGGACGAAAGUCUGACGGAGCAACGCCGCGUGAGUGAUGAAGGAUUUCGGUCUGUAAAGCUCUGUUGUUUAUGACGAACGUGCAGUGUGUGAACAAUGCAUUGCAAUGACGGUAGUAAACGAGGAAGCCACGGCUAACUACGUGCCAGCAGCCGCGGUAAUACGUAGGUGGCGAGCGUUGUCCGGAAUUAUUGGGCGUAAAGAGCAUGUAGGCGGCUUAAUAAGUCGAGCGUGAAAAUGCGGGGCUCAACCCCGUAUGGCGCUGGAAACUGUUAGGCUUGAGUGCAGGAGAGGAAAGGGGAAUUCCCAGUGUAGCGGUGAAAUGCGUAGAUAUUGGGAGGAACACCAGUGGCGAAGGCGCCUUUCUGGACUGUGUCUGACGCUGAGAUGCGAAAGCCAGGGUAGCGAACGGGAUUAGAUACCCCGGUAGUCCUGGCCGUAAACGAUGGGUACUAGGUGUAGGAGGUAUCGACCCCUUCUGUGCCGGAGUUAACGCAAUAAGUACCCCGCCU
rnacentral:rRNA from 1 species